AUUGAACGCUGGCGGCAGGCCUAACACAUGCAAGUCGAGCGAGCGGCGGACGGGUGAGUAAUGUCUAUGAAACUGCCUGAUGGAGGGGGAUAACUACUGGAAACGGUAGCUAAUACCGCAUACCAUCAGAUGUGCCCAGAUGGGAUUAGCUCGUAGGUGGGGUAAUGGCUCACCUAGGCGACGAUCUCUAGCUGGUCUGAGAGGAUGACCAGCCAAACGGGAAUUGAGAAACGGCCCAGACUCCUACGGGAGGCAGCAGGGGGGAAUAUUGCACAAGGGGCUCAAGCCUGAUGCAGCAAUGCCGCGUGUGUGAAGAAGGCCUUCGGGUUGUAAAGUACUGUCAGCGAGGAGGCGUUACUCGCAGAAGAAGCACCGGCUAACUCCGUGCCAGCAGCCGCGGUAAUAC
rnacentral:rRNA from 1 species